rnacentral:tRNA from 1 species
GAUAGCUAUAGUUCAAAGGUAGAACAAUUGUAUGUGGCGCAAUAUAUCUGAGUUCAAUUCUCAGUGGUUAUC